UAAUCGUCACGCUGCUCAUCGGCAUUCUUCGGCCAAUUCGCUCGACCCCGACCAAAACCCUAGCCGCCGGGGCCGGCCAGCUCCGUCGCGGCGUCGGCGGAUCUCGUUUCGACGAGGCGAGGCAACUGGAUGGGAUUCUUGAUUCAUCUGAGGCCAUACCGAGUGAUGCUUCCACCUAAUCUCGCCGAUAUGAUAUGUCAAAAAUGUCGUUGGAAUGGUAGGUUCUUUUAUGCAUUGAGUGCAUCAACUUGAAUCCAAUUUGAGCUUGAAGGAAGCUGAUACUUGGCCUGCCAAGGUUCUAACCAUGAGAAAAGGUGAGAUGCAAAACUGUCCCAACACCGCCAUCUCCUUCAACAAGCUCGGCCUUUUUGAAGAUAUCGGGAAGCAAUUGAGGAACAACCUGGCUAAUACGGAGACCUCGAUACAUCUCCCAUACCUCCGCCGCGGGGAGGCCUGUCUCGAAGUCAUGGCAAAGGCUACCUUUCAUUGCUUCUAUGAGCUCUGGGUGGAAUGCCAAAGAUUGCACGGUGCUAACCAGGAGAGUAGGUGAGAUGCAAAACUGUUCCGACGCCGCCAUCUCCAUCAACAAGCUCGACCUUUUUGAGCAUAUCGGGAAGCAAUUCAGGGGCCAACUGGCCAAUACGGAGGCCUCCAUAGAUCUCCCAUACAUCGGCUGCGGGGAGGCCUGUCUCGAACUCAUGGCAGAGGCUCCCUUUCAUUGGCUGUGUGUCUUGCCAAAGAUUGCACAGCGAGUUC